UACGUAGGGGGCUAGCGUUGUCCGGAUUUAUUGGGCGUAAAGCGCGUGUAGGCGGCCAAGUAAGUGGGAUGUGAAAUCCCCCGGCUUACCCGGGGACCUGCAUCUCAUACUGCUUGGCUUGAGUAUGGGAGAGGAUGAGGGAAUUCCAGGUGUAGCGGUGAAAUGCGUAGAGAUCUGGAGGAACACCGGUGGCGAAGGCGGCCCCCUGGUUCGAUACUGACGCUGAGGUGCGAAAGCGUGGGGAGCAAACAGG
rnacentral:rRNA from 1 species